UGGCACAGUGGUUAUGCACUUGGCUAGGAAUCAAAAGGUUGGUGGUUCGAACCCACC
rnacentral:tRNA from 1 species